rnacentral:rRNA from 1 species
UACGUAGGGCGCAAGCGUUAUCCGGAAUUAUUGGGCGUAAAGAGCUCGUAGGCGGCUUGUCGCGUCGACCGUGAAAACUUGGGGCUCAACCCCCAAGCCUGCGGUCGAUACGGGCAGGCUCGAGUUCGGUAGGGGAGACUGGAAUUCCUGGUGUAGCGGUGAAAUGCGCAGAUAUCAGGAGGAACACCGAUGGCGAAGGCAGGUCUCUGGGCCGAUACUGACGCUGAGGAGCGAAAGCGUGGGGAGCGAACAGG